UCUAAAUAAAUUCUUUUCUUUGCAGGGCAGAAUCAGAGAAUCACAGAAUGGUUUGGGUUGGAAGAGACACUAAAGCCUACCCAGUGCCAACACCUUGCCGUGGGCAGGGCUGCCACCCACUGGGUCAGACUGCCCAGGGCCCCAUCCAACCUGGCCUUGAGGGCCUCCAGGCCUGAGGCACCCACAGCUUCUCUGGGCAGCCUGUGCCAAGGCCUCGCUGCCUUCUAAAUCUGUAUCAGAAUCUAUAUGCAUUCUUUAGACUUAUUUUUCUACCUGUUAACCAUGCAAUUCUUCUAUCUCAUUCUGUGUUAAUUGGCAGUAACAUCUACAGUCAUCUGAAACUUUUGAAAACAGACUAUUUCUCACAAGAAAUCAAAGUCUUCUUACUUCAUGUGGAAAAUCUUCUUACUUCAUGUGAAUACAGAUCAGUCAUGAUGGCAUUUCCUGGCUCAGAGAGGACCCUAGAACACUGCAGGAUAAGUGCUGUUUCCUGCACUGGCACACCCAACACUUUCUGCCAUGCCCCCAAGCCCAAGCAGGAUUUGUCUUUCAGAAAAUGUUUGGCAGCUGGUGCAAGGUCAGCACACCUGAACUCCACCCUACAGAGCUACCUGUCGAGAGAAGGAGGAAAGUUCUGAUAUCUAUGCCUACAGCAUCGCUGGGAUGAAAGGUACCAAUAGCCACCGUUGUGUAAGAACAUUCAGUACAAGGAGAGUAAAG
rnacentral:lncRNA from 1 species